rnacentral:rRNA from 1 species
CCUACGGGAGGCAGCAGUGAGGAAUAUUGGUCAAUGGGCGCAAGCCUGAACCAGCCAAGCCGCGUGAAGGAUGACGGCCCUACGGGUCGUAAACUUCUUUUAUAGGGGAAUAAAAGGAGGCACGUGUUCAUUCCUGAAUGUAUUCUAAGAACAAGCAACGGCUAACUCCGUGCCAGCAGCCGCGGGAAUACGGAGGAUGCGAGCGUUAUCCGGAUUUAUUGGGUUUAAAGGGAGCGUAGAUGGGUUGUUAAGUCAGAUGUGAAAGUCUGUGGCUUAACCGUAGAAUUGCAAUUGAUACUGGCAGCCUUGAGUACAGUUGAGGAAGGCGGAAUUCGUGGUGUAGCGGUGAAAUGCGUAGAUAUCACGAAGAACCCCGAUUGCGAAGGCAGCCUAC